rnacentral:rRNA from 1 species
GACGAACGCUGGCGGCGUGCUUAACACAUGCAAGUCGAACGGAAAGGCCCUGCUUUUGUGGGGUGCUCGAGUGGCGAACGGGUGAGUAACACGUGAGUAACCUGCCCUUGACUUUGGGAUAACUUCAGGAAACUGGGGCUAAUACCGGAUAGCAGCUCCUGCUCCAUGGUGGGGGUUGGAAAGUUUCGGCGGUUGGGGAUGGACGCGCGGCUUAUCAGCUUGUUGGUGGGGUAGUGGCUUACCAAGGCUUUGACGGGUAGCCGGCCUGAGAGGGUGACCGGCCACAUUGGGACUGAGAUACGGCCCAGACUGCUACGGGAGGCAGAAGUGGGGAAUAUUGCACAAUGGGCGGAAGCCUGAUGCAGCAACGCCGCGUGCGGGAUGACGGCCUUCGGGUUGUAAACCGCUUUAGCCUGUGACGAAGCGUGAGUGACGGUAAUGGGUAAAGAAGCACCGGCUAACUACGUG